rnacentral:rRNA from 1 species
GAUGAACGCUGGCGGCGUGCCUAAUACAUGCAAGUCGAGCGAACGGACGAGAAGCUUGCUUCUCUGUUGUUAGCGGCGGACGGGUGAGUCACACGUGGAUAACCUACCUAUCUUUCUGGUAUAUCUUGGGAAAUCGGGCUAUAAUCCGGUAUAAUCUUUUGAUCCCCUUGGUUAAUAGGAAAAUUUCGGUUUUUGUGUCUGUAUUCGCGGCUUCUCAGCUAGUUGGUGAGGUAAUGGCUUACCAAGCUUACGAUGCAUAGCCGACCUGGCAGGGUGAUCGGCGACACGGGAACUGAGACACGGUCCAGACUCCUACGGGAGGCAGCAGUAGGGAAUCGUCCGCAAUGGGCGAAAGCAUGACGGAGCAACGCCGCGUGAGUGAUGGAGGUCUUCGGAUCGUAAAACUCUGUUAUUAGGGAAGAACAGAUGUGUAAGUAACUGUGCACAUCUUGACGGUACCUAAUCAGAAAGCCACGGCUAACUACGUG